rnacentral:sRNA from 1 species
AGAAGAGAAGAAGAAGAAGAAGUCGGUGGGUGAAUUAGU